rnacentral:rRNA from 1 species
GAUGAACGCUAGCGGCAGGCCUAACACAUGCAAGUCGAGGGGCAGCACAUAAAGUGGUUUACUACUUUUGGUGGCGACCGGCGGACGGGUGCGUAACGCGUAUGCAACCUGCCUCCAACAGGGGGAUAACGGAGAGAAAUUUCCACUAAUACCCCAUAAUCUCAGAAUCGGCAUCGGGUUUGGUUGAAAACUCCGGUGGCUGGAGAUGGGCAUGCGUUGUAUUAGAGAGUUGGUGAGGUAACGGCUCACCAAGUCAACGAUACAUAGGGGGACUGAGAGGUUAGCCCCCCACACUGGUACUGAGACACGGACCAGAAUCCUACGGGAGGCAGCAGUGAGGAAUAUUGGUCAAUGGGGGCAACCCUGAACCAGCCAUGCCGCGUGCAGGAAGACGGCUCUAUGAGUUGUAAACUGCUUUUACAAGGGGAUAAAUCGGUGUACGUGUACACCGUUGAAGGUACCUUGGGAAUAAGGAUCGGCUAUCUCCGUGCCAGCCGCCGCCGUAA